ensembl:snRNA U2 U2 spliceosomal RNA
AUCGCUUCUCGGCCUUUUGGCUAAGAUCAAGUGUAGUAUCUGUUCUUAUCAGUUUAAUAUCUGAUACGUCCCCUAUCUGGGGACCAUAUAUUAAAUUGAUUUUUGGAAUAGGGAGAUGGAAUAGGGGCUUGCUCCGUCCACUCCACGCAUCGACCUGGUAUUGCAGUACCUCCAGGAACGGUGCACCCCCC